GACGAACGCUGGCGGCGUGCCUAACACAUGUAAGUGGAGCGACGAACCAGACUUCGGUCUGGGGCCAAGCCGCGAACGGGUGAGUAACACGUGGGUAACCUGCCCCGAUGAUCGGGACAACCCGGGGAAACCCGGGCUAAUACCGAAUGUGGUCGCGGUCCGUGAGGACCGUGACGAAAGGAAGCUUCGGCCUCCGCAUCGGGAUGGGCCCGCGGCCCAUUAGCUUGUUGGUGGGGUAAUGGCCUACCAAGGCAUCGAUGGGUAGCUGGUCGGAGAGGACGAGCAGCCACACUGGGACUGAGACACGGCCCAGACUCCUACGGGAGGCAGCAGUGGGGAAUCUUGCGCAAUGGGCGAAAGCGUGACGCAGCAACGCCGCGUGGGGGAAGAAGGCUCUCGUGUCGUAAACCCCUUUCAGUUGGGACGAAGCUUCGCCGGUGAAUAGCCGGCCGGAGUGACGGUACCUUCACAAGAAGCCCCGGCUAACUACGUGCCAGCCGCCGCAGUAAAAC
rnacentral:rRNA from 1 species